UGUUAAGCAAUGAUAAAGAGUAGUACGUAUUUUCCUUCGAUUUAGAGAGUUUGUGGCAGGUGGAAACAAACACGAAGCAAUACGGAAUGGACUUUGGAGCUUCUUUCUGAACCUUUAAUUUUCUUGAUUAAACAAGUAGGAAUAGACGUUUUCCUUACGUUACAAGGAAUCUAAAUCGUCAGAGUACGGUGAUUUAGAACUGAGUGACUCUUUUGAGUAAUUUAGGGUGGUCCCGCGAACCAUUCGUCCCUAGU
rnacentral:ncRNA from 1 species